UGCCUGUCUAUGAGGUUCUCCUGCCUUUCU
rnacentral:piRNA from 1 species